rnacentral:lncRNA from 1 species
GGAAGACCAGCAUGGCCCUGGACAGAACCAGGCAAGGCUCGGCCCUGAGAUGGUGAGUUCUCUGCUAGUAACUCCAGCAGGAAGAGGGACUGAGUCCCAGAGCUGAGAAUGUGGGUUCCAGUCGUUUCUGGGUAGUGGACACAUCCACAGGCCAUCCACC